UGGGGAAUAUUGCACAAUGGGGGAAACCCUGAUGCAGCCAUGCCGCGUGUGUGAAGAAGGCCUUCGGGUUGUAAAGCACUUUCAGCGAGGAGGAAAGGUUGGUAGCUAAUAACUGCCAGCUGUGACGUUACUCGCAGAAGAAGCACCGGCUAACUCCGUGCCAGCAGCCGCGGUAAU
rnacentral:rRNA from 1 species